rnacentral:rRNA from 1 species
UAAUACGGAGGGUGCAAGCGUUAUCCGGAUUCACUGGGUUUAAAGGGUGUGUAGGCGGGCAGGUAAGUCAGUGGUGAAAUCUCCGGGCUUAACCCGGAAACUGCCAUUGAUACUAUUUGUCUUGAAUUUUGUUGAGGUGGGCGGAAUAUGUCAUGUAGCGGUGAAAUGCAUAGAUAUGACAUAGAACACCGAUUGCGAAGGCAGCUCACUAAGCAAGUAUUGACGCUGAGGCACGAAAGCGUGGGGAUCAAACAGG